rnacentral:rRNA from 1 species
CCUGAACGCUGGCGGCGUGGCUAAGACAUGCAAGUCGCACGGAGCCGGGUAGCAAUACCCGGUUUAGUGCGAACGGGUGAGUAAUGAAUCGCUAAUGUACCCCGGAUUCUGGGAUAGCCAGUCGAAAGGCUGGGUAAUACCAGAUGAUAUAACCGCUUCGCAUGAAGUGGUUCUCAAAGGAGCAAUCCGCUCUGGGAGCAGGCGAUUUCGUAUCAGCUUGNGGUGAGGUAACGGCUCACCAAGGCGACGACGCGUAGCCGGACUGAGAGGUUGGCCGGCCACAUUGGGACUGAGACACUGCCCAGACUCCUACGGGGGCUGCAGUAACGAAUCUUCCGCAAUGCACGAAAGUGUGACGGAGCGACGCCG